AUCAGUGAAACUGAUCUCCCCGUGAAGAAGCGGGGAUAUACAUAUAAGACGAGAAGACCCCAUGGAGCUUUAAACCUGACAGCACCCGCUCAUUCUAUACCCCAUUAUUUGCCCGACCCCUGUCUGCUCAGUUUUAGGUUGGGGUGACCACGGAGUAUAAAAUAACCUCCAUGAAGAAGGGGAUAUUUCCCUUAUUAGAGAACCACACUUCCAAGAACUAAUAAAUUAAUUUUCAAUGACCCGAUACCCGAUAAUCGAUCAACGAACCAAGUUACCCUGGGGAUAACAGCGCAAUCCACCCUGAAAGCCCUUAUUAACAGGUGGGUUUACGACCUCGAUGUUGGAUCAGGGUAUCCCAGUGGUGCAGCAGCUACUGAGGGUUCGUUUGUUCAACGAUUAA
rnacentral:rRNA from 1 species